CAAUAUAUGAUAUAUUGAUGUUUUGAUAUCAGUAUCACACGCUACUCACUUCACCAAUCAGCAGCACCAAGACUCCAAGAGUCUACUCAACGGAUGAUUAAACUAAAGUAAUUGUCUAAUUGAUAUUAAAUCUCAAAAAAUUAUUUUAUUUAUUAACUUAAAAAUAUUUUAGUAAUAUUAUACAUUAGUAAAUUAGUAAUAGUAAUUGUAUUGUUGUAUUGUAUAUGCAUACAACACAUAUUAUAUAUUAGUAAUAGUAGUUCUUAUUUCUCACAUAUAUAUACAUACAGUUUUAUAGUUAUAGUUAUAGUAUUUUUAUUUUUAGUUUCUCUCCUUUGUUUAAACUUCUAUUUCUCUCGCAUAGACAUGCACAUAUUGUGAGUUUGUGAUUGUGACAAUGGCUCUGAAAUUUGAAGAAACUUUGAGUACUUCAAAUGUGGAUACUUACAAGUCUGAGUUAGACUUAUACUUGGAGGAAGCAGUUGUACCUAGGGGUGGAGAGUUUGAUAAUUUAGCUUGGUGGAAGACAAAUGGUCUUAAAUAUCAAACAUUACAACAAGUUGCUAGAGAUGUUUUGGCUAUCCCAGUGUCUACAGUUGCUUCUGAAUCUGCCUUCAACACUAGUUGAAGUCAUGUGACUCCUUGUUGUAAUAGGCUUCAUCCAAACAUGUUGGAGGCAUUAGUAUGUACACAAGAUUGGUUAUGGGAUGAGAAACUAAAUACAUCACAAAAUAAGGGUUCAUAUAGUACAUUCUUUGAUGAUGUCGAAGAUGAUGAAGCGGGUCCAAGUUUUGUAGAUUCCAAUCCUUGAAGAAUAAAGACUCUUCAAUGGUAGUCUUGACUACUACUAGUUUUCAAAGUUGAAGAUGAAGACAUUAUUAUAAUUUUAUUAAGUUUAUUAAGUUUUGUGUGUUUGUUUGAAUUUUAAGUUUAUGCUUAUGGUUUUAAAGCUUAUGUUUAUGAAUUUUAAUUUUAACAUUGAAGGGGUUUUUGAUUUUACAAUUUAUCUAAAUGACUAUUAAUUAUGGAAUGAAUUUAAUUCUAUGUUGUUUGAAUUUA